rnacentral:rRNA from 1 species
ACCAGACUCCUACGGGAGGCAGCAGUGGGGGAUAUUGCACAAUGGGGGGAACCCUGAUGCAGCGACGCCGCGUGGGUGAAGAAGCGCCUCGGCGCGUAAAGCCCUGUCAGCAGGGAAGAAAAUGACGGUACCUGAAGAAGAAGCCCCGGCUAACUACGUGCCAGCAGCCGCGGUAAUACGUAGGGGGCAAGCGUUAUCCGGAUUUACUGGGUGUAAAGGGGGCGCAGACGGCGAUGCAAGCCAGGAGUGAAAGCCCGGGGCCCAACCCCGGGACUGCUCUUGGAACUGCGUGGCUGGAGUGCAGGAGGGGCAGGCGGAAUUCCUGGUGUAGCGGUGAAAUGCGUAGAUAUCAGGAGGAACACCAGUGGCGAAGGCGGCCUGCUGGACGAUGACUGACGUUGAGGCUCGAAAGCGUGGGGAGCAAACAGGAUUAGAUACCCGAGUA